AUUAUGCAUACUGGGUGUCUCUAAAAACAGCAGGUGUUAUUUCCCCCGAGGAUGUAGGAAGCAAAAGGCAAUCCCACCAUCCCGGCAUAGAAUAGGUCUAGACAACCCCCUAAGCCUUAGCAAAGUUUUUUUUCGAAUCAAUACCGGUACUAUCGGUUCAUUUUGCAUACAGGAUGUCUCCAAAAAAACACUAAACACUAAACAUAAUUCAUUCCAUACAUUCUCAGUCUGUCAGGACACAGCGGCCCAUCUGAAAACGAUUUCCCUGCGUUUCUGCAAGCCUAUACACAUGGAGAAUUUUGAAGAUAUUCUAAAACGGGUGGACAUCGAAUUUUCAGGUAUGUAUUUAAGUCAAUUGCAUGUAUUUUUAUAAGUUAAAAUGUAUAUAUUUCAUAUAAAUAUAUGUUAAUAUUAUCAAUCAUCUAUAGGAUACCCAACAUUUACCCAGUUGCUAUCUGGAAUAAUUUAUUUGGAUCAUCCAACAUUAGAUGAGAAAUCCGAGGUUCAACCCGAGACCGCAUCUUCUUAACGCAGCCCGUCCCCAUCAAGCUAUUUUCCACAUAAUGUCACACCCUGACCUUAGUAUUCUUUGUUUUCUUUAUUAUUUUGGUUAGGUCAGGGUGUGACAUGGGUGAUGUAUGUGUUUUGUUCCUGUCUAGGGGUUUUGUAUGUCUAUGGGUGUUACUAUUCUAGGUGUUAUGUAUGUCUAUGGUUGCCUAGAUUGGUUAUCAAUUAGAAGCAGCUGUUUAUCGUUGUCUCUGAUUGGGAACCAUAUUUAGGCAGCUAUAUUCCUUGGGAAAUUUGUGGGUUGUUGUCUAUGGUUGGUUGCUCGUGUGUGUGUGUGUGUGUGUGUGUGUGUGUGUGUGUGUGUGUGUGUGUGUGUGUGUGUGUGUGUGUGUGUGUGUGUGUGUGUGUGUGUCUUCGUUAAUAAAUAGAAUGUAUUCACAUCACGCUGCGCCUUAGUCUCCUCCAUUCAACGAACAUGACACGUAAGUCCAAAAAUAAAAUCCAUAAUAUUUAUACAUUAAAAACAAAAAGUGUGUACCCUAUGAAUGACUUUGGAGGAGCAUAUGAAACCGUAUUUUACUGUUCUAUAAGAACGGUUUUACCCGAACUCCGAACACCCCAAGAACCGCAGCUUUAACCAGCAGAUAAACACCCCGGAACCUCAAGCCAAUCCCUACAUAAUCUAGCAUUUACCGCAUAAUUUUGGCACAAGGGCAUCGCGCAGAAUCACAAACCAGGUCAUUUAAUGAUAUAUAUAUAUAUUGUUAAUAUAAUAUUAUAUCUUAUUAUCUAAUACUUUAUUUUUAAUACCCUAUUUUGUAUGUAUAUUUUUCUUUCAGACUCCUCCCAGGCGUAUACCGGCACAGAAGGCCCAACACAUCGAGAGGACGUGGUCGAGGAGGAAUUCGGCACCCAGGACAUACUGAAAACAGAACCUCAGGAAACGAGGCCAGGAAUCCAGCCAGCCAGGUCACGACGACAGCGAUGGCCCCAUACUUCCGUGUUCUGGCUCUCAUGGCGUAAACAGCAUGGACCUGUCCACACUCAUCAAGGUGAUGAAGAAGAUGCCACUGUAGAAGCCAACGUGGUAGGUGCUGAGGACCACUUUGCACAUGAUGUCACCAAACACCCACUGGUGUCUAGCGUGGUGGGCCAAGAAAGGCAAGGAGCAGACCAGGAGCAGGUCAGCCAAGUCCAGGUUCAGGAGACACAUGUCGGUCAUGCUACGUAGUCUCACCCCCAGCAACAUGACCCACAGGACCAGAACGUUCCCC